rnacentral:rRNA from 1 species
GAUCAUGGCUCAGGAUGAACGCUAGCUACAGGCUUAACACAUGCAAGUCGAGGGGCAGCAUGACGAUAGCUUGCUAUUGUCGAUGGCGACCGGCGCGCGGGUGAGUAACGCGUAUCCAAUCUUCCCGUUGCUAGGGGAUAACCUUGCGAAAGUAAGACUAAUACCCUAUGAAGUUCUUCGCAGGCAUCUAAAGAGAACGAAAGAUUUAUCGGCAACGGAUGGGGAUGCGU